UGGGGAAUAUUGGACAAUGGGCGAAAGCCUGAUCCAGCCAUGCCGCGUGUGUGAAGAAGGUCUUCGGAUUGUAAAGCACUUUAAGUUGGGAGGAAGGGCAGUAAGCGAAUACCUUGCUGUUUUGACGUUACCGACAGAAUAAGCACCGGCUAACUCUGUGCCAGCAGCCGCGGUAAUACAGAGGGUGCAAGCGUUAAUCGGAAUUACUGGGCGUAAAGCGCGCGUAGGUGGUUCGUUAAGUUGAAUGUGAAAGCCCCGGGCUCAACCUGGGAGCUGCAUCCAAAACUGGCGAGCUAGAGUAGGGCAGAGGGUGGUGGAAUUUCCUGUGUAGCGGUGAAAUGCGUAGAUAUAGGAAGGAGCACCAGUGGCGAAGGCGACCACCUGGGCUCAUACUGACACUGAGGUGCGAAAGCGUGGGGAGCAAACAGG
rnacentral:rRNA from 1 species